rnacentral:rRNA from 1 species
UACUGCGAAGGGGGGACGGAGAAGGCUAUGUUGGCCGGGCGACGGUUGUCCCGGUUUAAGCGUGUAGGCUGGUUUUCCAGGCAAAUCCGGAAAACCAAGGCUGAGGCGUGAUGACGAGGCACUACGGUGCUGAAGUGACAAAUGCCCUGCUUCCAGGAAAAGCCUCUAAGCAUCAGGUAACAUCAAAUCGUACCCCAAACCGACACAGGUGGUCAGGUAGAGAAUACCAAGGCGCUUGAGAGAACUCGGGUGAAGGAACUAGGCAAAAUGGUGCCGUAACUUCGGGAGAAGGCACGCUGAUAUGUAGGUGAAGCGACUUGCUCGUGGAGCUGAAAUCAGUCGAAGAUACCAGCUGGCUGCAACUGUUUAUUAAAAACACAGCACUGUGCAAACACGAAAGUGGACGUAUACGGUGUGACGCCUGCCCGGUGCCGGAAGGUUAAUUGAUGGGGUUAGCGGUAACGCGAAGCUCUUGAUCGAAGCCCCGGUAAACGGCGGCCGUAACUAUAACGGUCCUAAGGUAGCGAAAUUCCUUGUCGGGUAAGUUCCGACCUGCACGAAUGGCGUAAUGAUGGCCAGGCUGUCUCCACCCGAGACUCAGUGAAAUUGAACUCGCUGUGAAGAUGCAGUGUACCCGCGGCAAGACGGAAAGACCCCGUGAACCUUUACUAUAGCUUGACACUGAACAUUGAGCCUUGAUGUGUAGGAUAGGUGGGAGGCUUUGAAGUGUGGACGCCAGUCUGCAUGGAGCCGACCUUGAAAUACCACCCUUUAAUGUUUGAUGUUCUAACGUUGGCCCGUAAUCCGGGUUGCGGACAGUGUCUGGUGGGUAGUUUGACUGGGGCGGUCUCCUCCUAAAGAGUAACGGAGGAGCACGAAGGUUGGCUAAUCCUGGUCGGACAUCAGGAGGUUAGUGCAAUGGCAUAAGCCAGCUUGACUGCGAGCGUGACGGCGCGAGCAGGUGCGAAAGCAGGUCAUAGUGAUCCGGUGGUUCUGAAUGGAAGGGCCAUCGCUCAACGGAUAAAAGGUACUCCGGGGAUAACAGGCUGAUACCGCCCAAGAGUUCAUAUCGACGGCGGUGUUUGGCACCUCGAUGUCGGCUCAUCACAUCCUGGGGCUGAAGUAGGUCCCAAGGGUAUGGCUGUUCGCCAUUUAAAGUGGUACGCGAGCUGGGUUUAGAACGUCGUGAGACAGUUCGGUCCCUAUCUGCCGUGGGCGCUGGAGAACUGAGGGGGGCUGCUCCUAGUACGAGAGGACCGGAGUGGACGCAUCACUGGUGUUCGGGUUGUCAUGCCAAUGGCACUGCCCGGUAGCUAAAUGCGGAAGAGAUAAGUGCUGAAAGCAUCUAAGCACGAAACUUGCCCCGAGAUGAGUUCUCCCUGAGACUUAGAGUCUCCUGAAGGAACGUUGAAGACGACGACGUUGAUAGGCCGGGUGUGUAAGCGCAGCGAUGCGUUGAGCUAACCGGUACUAAUGAACCGUGAGGCUUAACCUU